rnacentral:antisense_RNA from 1 species
UUGCCAUGAUUCACCUCUCCAUCAGGUGUUAAGUGGAAGUGCCGGCCGGUUGCACCCGGCCGGUGCGAUU